CUGUUAAUAGUGAGUUACCAUACAAAGUAGUCCAGAAAUAUAGACCAUUUACAGCUCAGCCAAUAAAUAUUUGAACAGUGACAAAUCUUGUUUUGUCUCUGCACACCAGCACAUAGGAUUUCAACAUCAGCUUUCGUUUGGGGAUCUUUACAGCAAUAAAUAUUAAAUUGUUUACAUUUCUUCUAUUUAAGAUUAUUAAAGAACAGGGCAUUAGUCUAUGCUAUUGCAUUUUAAGAACAGGCAACAGAGGAUGCCUAGACUCUUAUUGUAGAACUUAAGUGUCUGUUGUAUUAUCUCAACAGGAUAAAAAUUGACA